CUGAUAAUUUGAAGCAAUCGGAGCUAAAUGGAUCGAAAAAUGAAUAAAUUUCGAUUUUACUUACAGGUGAUAGAUUAAUAUCUUCACGACUCUUAUUUUCCAUUAUUCGUAAUUCUCCAGCCAUGUUUAUUCACCUACAAUUAAUUUUAGGAAUUCACCAUAUGA
rnacentral:sRNA from 1 species